CCUACGGGAGGCAGCAGUAGGGAAUAUUGCUCAAUGGGGGAAACCCUGAAGCAGCAACGCCGCGUGGAGGAUGAAGGUUUUCGGAUUGUAAACUCCUUUUGUUAGAGGAGAUAAUGACGGUAUCUAACGAAUAAGCACCGGCUAACUCCGGGCCAGCAGCCGCGGUAAUACGGAGGGUGCAAGCGUUACUCGGAAUCACUGGGCGGAAAGAGCGCGUAGGCGGGAUAGCAAGUCAGAUGUGAAAUCCUAUGGCUUAACCAUAGAACUGCAUUUGAAACUGUUAUUCUAGAGUAUGGGAGAGGUAGGUGGAAUUCUUGGUGUAGGGGUAAAAUCCGUAGAGAUCAAGAGGAAUACUCAUUGCGAAGGCGACCUGCUAGAACAUAACUGACGCUGAUGCGCGAAAGCGUGGGGAGCAAACAGGAUUAGAUACCCCAGUAGUC
rnacentral:rRNA from 1 species